CCAGAAAGCACGUGCUGCCCAGUGGCUUCCGGAAGUUCCUGGUCCACAAUGUCAAGGAGCUGAGAGUGCUGCUGAUAUGCAACAAAUGAGAAGAAUAAUGUCUGGGGUGAAGGUGAAGCACCCAGCCCAAGACUCAGCAGCCAGGAAGUGGCCCAGCGCUCUUUAUACCACGGGUGCAGGAAUUCACACAGAAAAGUGGAGGCCAAGGCGUGAGAAUUCCUCAAUGACUGCCCUCUAAAGGAAGAGGACCAGGCUUCCUGUCAGAGACUGAGGACCCAGGAAGAAACAUGUCUCGGCCCCUGUCCCCCUCCACAAUUCAGAGGCCACAUUCUAACAGGGGAGGCUGACCAAUUAAACAGAUAAUGACACCUCCUAGAGCUAAGAGCUCUCCGACUAUGAACCAGAUGCCUGGAGAACACGGAUGAAUGGUCUGAGCAUGAGCAGGGGUGGGAGGCAGCGUUAAGGGAGGCAUCAGAGUCAGAACCUAGCAAACAAGUGUUUGUGAAGAAGAAUUCAUAGAAAAGGGCAAUGCGGGCAUCACAUGGGCUAAGGAACAGAGGGGUAGCAGUAGCUGUUGUGCCAAGCUGCAGGUGUUAUACACUACCCUCUAGAUCUGGGUUUCCUUAAAACACCUUGAGAGGACAACCCUGCAAAGCACGGCACAGUGGCCGAGAGGGAAAGGAGCAUUCGAGGUCUCAGUCCUCGCUCUGAGCCUACUUCUCUGCUUCUGGGCUCCAGCCAUCUUUGUGGAAAGGGGG
rnacentral:lncRNA from 1 species